UACGGGGGGAGCAAGCGUUGUUCGGAUUUACUGGGCGUAAAGGGCGCGUAGGCGGCCACCGCAAGUCAGUUGUGAAAGCUCUGGGCUUAACCCAGAAAGGUCAGCUGAUACUGCGGGGCUAGAGUGCAGAAGGGGCAACUGGAAUUCUCGGUGUAGCGGUGAAAUGCGUAGAUAUCGAGAGGAACACCUGCGGCGAAGGCGGGUUGCUGGGCUGACACUGACGCUGACAGCGCGAAAGCCAGGGGAGCAAACGGG
rnacentral:rRNA from 1 species